UACGUAGGGACCAAGCGUUGUUCGGAUUUACUGGGCGUAAAGGGCGCGUAGGCGGCUUAACAAGUCACUUGUGAAAUCUCCGGGCUUAACUCGGAACGGCCAAGUGAAACUGUCAAGCUAGAGUGCAGAAGGGGCAAUCGGAAUUCUUGGUGUAGCGGUGAAAUGCGUAGAUAUCAAGAGGAACACCUGAGGUGAAGACGGGUUGCUGGGCUGAUACUGACGCUGAGGCGCGAAAGCCAGGGGAGCGAACGGG
rnacentral:rRNA from 1 species